GAGUUUGAUCAUGGCUCAGAUUGAACGCUGGCGGCAUGCCUAACACAUGCAAGUCGCGCGGAGUGUAGCAAUACACUUAGCGGCGGACGGGUGAGGAAUACAUAGGAAUUUGCCCUUAAGUGGGGGAUAGCCAGGGGAAACUCUGGGUAAUACCGCAUGAUGUCGAGAGACCAAAGCCGGGGACCGCAAGGCCUGGCGCUUUUGGAGAAGCCUAUGUCUGAUUUAGCUAGUUGGUGAGGUAACGGCUCACCAAGGCAACGAUCAGUAGCUGGUCUGAGAGGACGAUCAGCCACACCGGAACUGAGACACGGUCCGGACUCCUACGGGAGGCAGCAGUGGGGAAUAUUGGACAAUGGGCGCAAGCCUGAUCCAGCAAUGCCGCGUGUGUGAAGAAGGCCUCGGUUGUAAGA
rnacentral:rRNA from 1 species